GGCCCCGUAGCUCAUCUGGAUAGAGCACAAGUUUCCUAAACUUGGGGCAGCAGGUUCGAGUCCUGCCGGGGUCGCCA
rnacentral:tRNA from 1 species